rnacentral:rRNA from 1 species
AUACAGAGGGUGCAAGCGUUAAUCGGAUUUACUGGGCGUAAAGCGCGCGUAGGUGGCUAAUUAAGUCAAAUGUGAAAUCCCCGAGCUUAACUUGGGAAUUGCAUUCGAUACUGGUUAGCUAGAGUAUGGGAGAGGAUGGUAGAAUUCCAGGUGUAGCGGUGAAAUGCGUAGAGAUCUGGAGGAAUACCGAUGGCGAAGGCAGCCAUGUGGCGUGAUACGGUCACUUAGGUGCGAAAGCAUGGGGAGCAAGCAGGAUUAGAUACCCUGGUAGUCCAUGCCGUAAACGAUGUCUACUAGCCGUUGGGGCCCUUGAGGCUUUAGUGGCGCAGCUAACGCGAUAAGUAGACCGCCUGGGGAGUACGGUCGCAAGACUAAAACUCAAAUGAAUUGGCGGGG